rnacentral:lncRNA from 1 species
GAUGGCAGGGCAUGGAUGAAUCAUCAAACCUCAUCACCAGUCAUAUGAUAGAUUCGAUUAGCUCAAGUUCAAUUGUGAUUCUUAUAAAUUUUUUUUCAUCAAUCACACUGCUGUGGUCAUAGGCUUACGGAUUUAUCCUCUCUAAUCCUAUAGGACUACUCUUUUCUAUCAAAAUUGAUAGAUUUUUUUUAAAUAUGCACCCUGCUCCUAUAGUAGACCAACUAUCACCAACAUCCACUAUAA